rnacentral:misc_RNA from 1 species
GUGAUUAAAUCGAGCGUGUCUCCAUUGACCGCUCACCCUUCUCCCCAUCCACAUACACCUGUGCACUGUUUAGCCUGAGCCGGUUUUCCGGUCCAGGUUAUCAUUUCAUACAAACUCUAGUCUUAUGAAUGUAAACGUUUUAAUAACAUAAUA